rnacentral:rRNA from 1 species
GGGUUGUGAGGUUAAGCGACUAAGCGUACACGGUGGAUGCCCUGGCAGUCAGAGGCGAUGAAGGACGUGCUAAUCUGCGAAAAGCGUCGGUAAGGUGAUAUGAACCGUUACAGCCGGCGAUGUCCGAAUGGGGAAACCCAGUGUGAUUCGUCACACUAUCGUUAACUGAAUACAUAGGUUAACGAGGCGAACCGGGGGAACUGAAACAUCUAAGUACCCCGAGGAAAAGAAAUCAACCGAGAUUCCCCCAGUAGCGGCGAGCGAACGGGGAGCAGCCCAGAGUCUGAAUCAGCUUGUGUGUUAGUGGAACGGUCUGGAAAGUCCGACGGUACAGGGUGAUAGUCCCGUACACCAAAAUGCACAGGCUGUGAACUCGAAGAGUAGGGCGGGACACGUGGUAUCCUGUCUGAAUAUGGGGGGACCAUCCUCCAAGGCUAAAUACUCCUGACUGACCGAUAGUGAACCAGUACCGUGAGGGAAAGGCGAAAAGAACCCCGGCGAGGGGAGUGAAAAAGAACCUGAAACCGUGUACGUACAAGCAGUGGGAGCACCUUCGGGUGUGACUGCGUACCUUUUGUAUAAUGGGUCAGCGACUUAUAUUCUGUAGCAAGGUUAACCGUAUAGGGGAGCCGCAGGGAAACCGAGUCUUAACUGGGCGUUAAGUUGCAGGGUAUAGACCCGAAACCCGGUGAUCUAGCCAUGGGCAGGUUGAAGGUUGGGUAACACUAACUGGAGGACCGAACCGACUAAUGUUGAAAAAUUAGCGGAUGACUUGUGGCUGGGGGUGAAAGGCCAAUCAAACCGGGAGAUAGCUGGUUCUCCCCGAAAGCUAUUUAGGUAGCGCCUCGUGAAUUCAUCUUCGGGGGUAGAGCACUGUUUCGGCUAGGGGGUCAUCCCGACUUACCAACCCGAUGCAAACUACGAAUACCGAAGAAUGUUAUCACGGGAGACACACGGCGGGUGCUAACGUCCGUCGUGAAGAGGGAAACAACCCAGACCGCCAGCUAAGGUCCCAAAGUCACAGUUAAGUGGGAAACGAUGUGGGAAGGCACAGACAGCCAGGAUGUUGGCUUAGAAGCAGCCAUCAUUUAAAGAAAGCGUAAUAGCUCACUGGUCGAGUCGGCCUGCGCGGAAGAUGUAACGGGGCUAAACUGUGCACCGAAGCUGCGGCAGCGACACUAUGUGUUGUUGGGUAGGGGAGCGUUCUGUAAGCCUGCGAAGGUGGCCUGUGAGGGUUGCUGGAGGUAUCAGAAGUGCGAAUGCUGACAUAAGUAACGAUAAUGCGGGUGAAAAGCCCGCACGCCGGAAGACCAAGGGUUCCUGUCCAACGUUAAUCGGGGCAGGGUGAGUCGACCCCUAAGGCGAGGCCGAAAGGCGUAGUCGAUGGGAAACAGGUUAAUAUUCCUGUACUUGGUGUUACUGCGAAGGGGGGACGGAGAAGGCUAUGUUAGCCGGGCGACGGUUGUCCCGGUUUAAGCAUGUAGGCGGAGGUUCCAGGUAAAUCCGGUACCUUUUUAACGCUGAGGUGUGAUGACGAGGCACUACGGUGCUGAAGUAACAAAUGCCCUGCUUCCAGGAAAAGCCUCUAAGCAUCAGGUAACAUUAAAUCGUACCCCAAACCGACACAGGUGGUCAGGUAGAGAAUACCAAGGCGCUUGAGAGAACUCGGGUGAAGGAACUAGGCAAAAUGGUGCCGUAACUUCGGGAGAAGGCACGCUGAUAUGUAGGUGAAGCCCCUGCGGGUGGAGCUGAAAUCAGUCGAAGAUACCAGCUGGCUGCAACUGUUUAUUAAAAACACAGCACUGUGCAAACACGAAAGUGGACGUAUACGGUGUGACGCCUGCCCGGUGCCGGAAGGUUAAUUGAUGGGGUUAUCCGUAAGGAGAAGCUCUUGAUCGAAGCCCCGGUAAACGGCGGCCGUAACUAUAACGGUCCUAAGGUAGCGAAAUUCCUUGUCGGGUAAGUUCCGACCUGCACGAAUGGCGUAAUGAUGGCCAGGCUGUCUCCACCCGAGACUCAGUGAAAUUGAACUCGCUGUGAAGAUGCAGUGUACCCGCGGCAAGACGGAAAGACCCCGUGAACCUUUACUAUAGCUUGACACUGAACAUUGAGCCUUGAUGUGUAGGAUAGGUGGGAGGCUUUGAAGCGUGGACGCCAGUCUGCGUGGAGCCAACCUUGAAAUACCACCCUUUAAUGUUUGAUGUUCUAACGUUGGCCCCUUAUCGGGGUUGCGGACAGUGUCUGGUGGGUAGUUUGACUGGGGCGGUCUCCUCCCAAAGAGUAACGGAGGAGCACGAAGGUUAGCUAAUCCUGGUCGGACAUCAGGAGGUUAGUGCAAUGGCAUAAGCUAGCUUGACUGCGAGCGUGACGGCGCGAGCAGGUGCGAAAGCAGGUCAUAGUGAUCCGGUGGUUCUGAAUGGAAGGGCCAUCGCUCAACGGAUAAAAGGUACUCCGGGGAUAACAGGCUGAUACCGCCCAAGAGUUCAUAUCGACGGCGGUGUUUGGCACCUCGAUGUCGGCUCAUCACAUCCUGGGGCUGAAGUAGGUCCCAAGGGUAUGGCUGUUCGCCAUUUAAAGUGGUACGCGAGCUGGGUUUAGAACGUCGUGAGACAGUUCGGUCCCUAUCUGCCGUGGGCGCUGGAGAAUUGAGGGGGGCUGCUCCUAGUACGAGAGGACCGGAGUGGACGCAUCACUGGUGUUCGGGUUGUCAUGCCAAUGGCAUUGCCCGGUAGCUAAAUGCGGAAGAGAUAAGUGCUGAAAGCAUCUAAGCACGAAACUUGCCCCGAGAUGAGUUCUCCCUGAGACUUUAAGUCUCCUGAAGGAACGUUAAAGACGAUGACGUUGAUAGGUCGGGUGUGUAAGCGUAGCGAUACGUUGAGCUAACCGAUACUAAUGAACCGUGAGGCUUAACCUUACAACGCCGAAGGUGUUU